GUCAUCAGGAGACCCGAGAAAAUGCGCACCCGAGCUUGCCCUUCCUCAUAUCUUGGCUGAAAUCCAGUUUCUCUUCGAUCGGCGGAGGGACGAUCCAGUUUCUGUAACGUUGCGUUGUGAUUUAUUCGUCUUAAAUCGUCUUAAUUCGCAAUCCCACUACGAAACUUUCGUUUGCGUUGUCCGUCGCCGAGAUCGUGUAUAAAUAUGCUCCACUGCGAUAUCAAACUCCGACGAGUUAGGCACCAAACAAUCCGCCACAGCGCUGCUGACGAAGAUCUGCCGCUGACACACGUUGUUCCUCCAAUCUUCCAGCCCAAUCGCUUCUGUAAUUAGAUACGUCAAUGGCAGUGGCGGCUGCGUCGCGGUUUCUGAUGUUUGGUGCGGUAAAGGAUUAGGGUUCUCGACGGAUGCGGUGUCGAUGGAUCCUCCGAGGAGGAAUCUUCCGCCGUCGCGUCGCAAAAUCGACGUGGACAAGAACAGUUCGAACCAAACAGAGGUAAAGGUGGUAGCUUUAUGUUCUGUGUAUCUAAUUGCAAGUCAAAGUUUGAGUCUUUUUUUGGUGGUGUUUUUAGUUUAGAAUGCCGUUUCUGAUUACCGGGCAAGCUAUUGACUGGUACAGUGAAUGAAAGGAUGAAAUCGGAUCUCUUUUCUUUUCUACUUUUGUUGGUUUGGGAAAACUUUGUAAAUGUCAUAGAGAUGCGUUGUCCAUUUUUGUUUUUGUAGUUAGGGAGCUUGAAUAUUGAAGAUAUGCUCAAUGCUGCAUCACCUGGUAUACGACGAAAUAUCAGUUAUAUCCAAGGUUCUUCAAUAUAUGGAGUCACCAGAAUACAAUAGGUUUACACAUAUAGUCCUCGAUACUACUCCCACGGAACAUACUCUGCGGCUUCUUUCUCUGUCCGAUUUCUAUGAUUCUUCAAUUGGCAAAAUAAAGCUCAAGAAGAAGAUCACUGCGGCAGCUUCAGCCUUUAUGUCUGUCUUUGGUAAAAAGGAGAUACAACAACAAAGACCUUCCAACGAGUUGGACCAACUGAAAGAGAGAAUGGAGAAAGUUCUAAAUGUUUUCAGUGAAGUGGACACUACUGAGUUUGUCAUUGUAACCAUUGCACCAUUCUCUUACCUGUUCAUAAGAUCAUUAGUUUACAUGUGGUUACUGAGACGCUUAGCUUUAUUCUUCUACCCCAUUAAGGAUAAAUUUGAAUAGAAGUCGGUCUCUCCUUCUGGCAUAUUCACUUGGUUAUUACCUUUCCUUUUAGGUCAUGGUAAUAAACUGAGUCUUCGGGGUUACAUGCAUCUUUAAGAAAAGAAAAUGUGCCAGUUCACAAGUUUAUUGUUAAACAGCUUCUCCCUCAUUUUGAAUUCGAUUGUAAAUUUUGCUCAGUGGGACGAAAGGAACAAACGCGUGUGCUCAGACUUAUUCAGGACGAUACGAAGCAUUUGACUAGGGACAUUUUGAACUCAUGUUGCUACAAAAAGCAGCUUCACGGUUGGUAUGAGCUAUACAGUGACAACUAAAUCUGUCUGAGUGUCAAAUGCGUAGCAAAUCCGUUCAAGCUGCAACUUGGAUUCUUCUUUUACUUUUUCUUAUAAUAGGUAGUUGGCAGAGCACAGUAUGUAGAACUGGUAGAUGGACCACGUUAGAGUUCAUUUCGUAUUCUAUGUAACGCGUUUUCAACUGGUGGAUUUGGCACAAUCGACAUUUUUCGUAUAGUAGUAAUUCAUCUAUUAUUGAUUUUAUGUAACAUAGACAACACAAUUUGGCUUGAUUAUUCAUUGAGAAAGUAAGGAAAUAAGUUUGUCUCUC